AGUGAACGCUGGCGGUAGGCCUAACACAUGCAAGUCGAACGGCAGCACAGUAAGAGCUUGCUCUUACGGGUGGCGAGUGGCGGACGGGUGAGGAAUACAUCGGAAUCUACUUUUUCGUGGGGGAUAACGUAGGGAAACUUACGCUAAUACCGCAUACGACCUACGGGUGAAAGCAGGGGAUCUUCGGACCUUGCGCGAUUGAAUGAGGCGAUGUCGGAUUAGCUAGUUGGCGGGGUAAAGGCCCACCAAGGCGACGAUCCGUAGCUGGUCUGAGAGGAUGAUCAGCCACACUGGAACUGAGACACGGUCCAGACUCCUACGGGAGGCAGCAGUGGGGAAUAUUGGACAAUGGGCGCAAGCCUGAUCCAGCCAUACUGCGUGGGUGAAGAAGGCCUUCGGGUUGUAAAGCCCUUUUGUUGGGAAAGAAAAGCAGCAGGUUAAUACCCCGCUGUUCUGACGGUACCCAAAGAAUAAGCACCGGCUAACUUCGUG
rnacentral:rRNA from 1 species